rnacentral:rRNA from 1 species
UACGAAGGGGGCUAGCGUUGCUCGGAAUUACUGGGCGUAAAGGGAGCGUAGGCGGGUCGUCAAGUUGGGGGUGAAAGCCCAGGGCUCAACCUUGGAAUUGCCUUCAAAACUGACGAUCUAGAGUAUGGAAGAGGUAAGUGGAACUCCGAGUGUAGAGGUGAAAUUCGUAGAUAUUCGGAAGAACACCAGUGGCGAAGGCGACUUACUGGUCCAUGACUGACGCUGAGGCUCGAAAGCGUGGGGAG